UAGGGAAUAUUGGUAAUGUGCGAAAGCGCGAACCAGCAACGCCGCGUGCACGAUGAAGGCCUUCGGGUCGUAAAGUGCUUUUAGAGAGGAUGAGGAAGGACAGUACUUUCUGAAUAAGCCUCGGCUAACUACGUGCCAGCAGCCGCGGUAAAACGUAGGAGGCUAGCGUUAUCCGGAUUUACUGGGCGUAAAGGGCGCGCAGGCGGGAUAAAAAGUCAGUGGUGAAAUCCUACAGCUUAACUGUAGAACUGCCUUUGAUACUUUUAUUCUUGAGUUCGGGAGAGAGAGACGGAAUUCCAGGUGUCGUGGUCAAAUACGUAGAUAUCUGGAAGAACACCAGUUGCGAAGGCGGUCUCUUGGUCCGACACUGACGCUGAGGCGCGAAAGCGUGGGGAGCAAACA
rnacentral:rRNA from 1 species